UGCAGUCGAACGGUAACAGGCCGCUUUGAUCCCUUCGGGGUGAUCUUGGCGCUGACGAGUGGCGGACGGGUGAGUAAUGCUUGGGAAUCUGCCCAGUAGUGGGGGACAACACGAGGAAACUCGUGCUAAUACCGCAUACGUCCUACGGGAGAAAGUGGGGGAUCUUCGGACCUCACGCUAUUGGAUGAGCCCAAGUCGGAUUAGCUUGUUGGUGAGGUAAAGGCUCACCAAGGCGACGAUCCGUAGCUGGUCUGAGAGGACGAUCAGCCACACUGGGACUGAGACACGGCCCAGACUCCUACGGGAGGCAGCAGUGGGGAAUAUUGGACAAUGGGGGCAACCCUGAUCCAGCAAUGCCGCGUGUGUGAAGAAGGCCUGCGGGUUGUAAAGCACUUUCAGUAGAGAAGAAAUGCCUGGGGUUAAUAACUCCGGGUUUUGACGUAACCUACAGAAGAAGCACCGGCUAACUCCGUGCCAGCAGCCGCGGUAAUACGGAGGGUGCGAGCGUUAAUCGGAAUUACUGGGCGUAAAGCGCGCGUAGGCGGCUAGGUCAGUCGGAUGUGAAAGCCCCGGGCUCAACCUGGGAAUUGCAUUCGAAACUGCCUGGCUAGAGUAUGGGAGAGGGAAGCGGAAUUUCCGGUGUAGCGGUGAAAUGCGUAGAUAUCGGAAGGAACACCAGUGGCGAAGGCGGCUUGCUGGCCCAAUACUGACGCUCAGGUGCGAAAGCGUGGGGUAGCGAACAGGAUUAGAUACCCUGGUAGUCC
rnacentral:rRNA from 1 species